UACGUAGGGUGCGAGCGUUAAUCGGAAUUACUGGGCGUAAAGCGUGCGCAGGCGGUUUUGUAAGCCAGAUGUGAAAGCCCCGGGCUCAACCUGGGAACUGCAUUGGAAACUAACGGGCUCGAGUGUGGCAGAGGGGGGUGGAAUUCCACGUGUAGCAGUGAAAUGCGUAGAGAUGUGGAGGAACACCGAUGGCGAAGGCAGCCCCCUGGGCUAACACUGACGCUCAGGCACGAAAGCGUGGGGAGCAAACAGG
rnacentral:rRNA from 1 species